rnacentral:lncRNA from 12 species
CCGGGUGUUUGGUUUUGUCUUUUCAGGAGCAAAACGUUUCAUUAAAAAGCAGAAGGAACAAUGCGAAUGAGCAGUUACGUUGAUCGACUCAUCAGUGCUGUGCCACGGAAGGCAGGACUGGCUUACAGCAAAACAUCCUUGAUUUUUGGGUUUCAGAAGUCAAAGUGUUAUGCCUCAUAGUACCUAUUAUUCCAGGGGCUAGAACUAAGAUAGAACUAAGGUAUUAAGAAGAAACUACUGCAGGCAAUGAGACAAUUAACACUACAGAAGGAAAAGCUUAGGCUGCCAACUUACCUGGGCUGUUCUGCCAAGACAAAAGAUGGUGAUGAUAGAGGCCUGGAGAUCAUUAACCAAGUGCAUUACAUGAAGAAAGGAGGAGAAGAAAGCACUACAGGCACUGCCAAAUUUUGUAAGAAGUUAAUAUUAUUUUGUGGUUGGAUUUCAUCAUGUGGAAAGCACUUUCAGGCAGAGGACAUGAAGAAGAGGGAAUGCCAGCAACCAUGCUGUCAACUUUGCAAGUCAUUAACAAUCUGGAAAGACACUGAGACACACUGUCAAGCUAAGCAGAACAUCUCAAAGAGGCACAGAGAUGGACCAAAAUGGAAAGAUUUUGGGUGCAACGCCCCACUGCUCCCUUCUGAGAAGCACUGAGUCCUGGCAGCCCAAAGAACUGAGUUAUGAACUGAGACUACACACUUAGGAUUUUUUCUUACCCACUCUUCCCACCAUUAUUUGUCUAUUGAUGAUAUCAUGGGUAGAAACGUUGGGGCUGGCCAAGUAUUCCGUAUUGGAUGGAUUGCUGCUUUCCUUCUAUGUCGCUUUUUGGAAGCAGUUUGAAGUCCACGAUCACACUGUGCCAUAACAACAAAUGCUUCAAGGAUGACAUUUCCAAAAGUACCUUUCUUCCAAGAAUCUCUGAGUGCUUUUCAACGUGAAUUACCAGCCCAUCUCUUGGUGAUAAGUAGGUGUUAUUUCCAUCUUCGAACUGAGAAACUCAAGCUACUGCCUAAAGUAACUGUGAAUCAUCUACUUCUUGGAGCUUUCUUUUUCUUGUUUUCCAUGCUCUUUCCCUUUUGUCUCCUGGGCCAUUUUUAACCUCAAUUUCCUCUCCCCUCUGUCUAUAAUAAUCCCCUCGAUACAACCUGAUAUUGUACCCAAACUUUAAAACUCUUCCUCCCAUGCAACUCGGGCCUGCGUGCUGUGCAUAAGUGCUCUCCUGAUUCAGGUAGUAGCAUCAAUAGAGCCUUUCAAAGAGCUGUAUUUAUGUAGAUAGGUUUAAAUUGUUAUUUCCAUCCCGUAUGUGCAUUUGUGGGUGGGGAGGAUUAGUCUGCAGAUAAGUUAAAGAGCACAUGUGUCUCAGUGCCUCUGAUGUGGAGCACUCAGCUGGAGAGAGGCAGUUCUGCAAAGAUUCUGAGCACUUACUGCUCCCCCUACUUGGAAAGUUCAGACCACUUGGGUGAAUCAGAGCUCGCACUACCUGAUGCUGGACAGUGUCCUGACUAGGACACUGGGCAGCAUAUUGGCUAAUGUCUGUUUUCAGUCUAAAUAAACACGUGCUCUCCUCCAGAAGGGUAUUUUGUUCAAGAUAAGAGUAACUGGUUUCACUCCCAGUAUUCACUGUACAUAUCUCUGAAUUAAACUGUUGUUG